rnacentral:rRNA from 1 species
GAUGAACGCUGGCGGCGUGCCUAAUACAUGCAAGUCGAGCGAACGGAUAAGGAGCUUGCUCCUUUGAAGUUAGCGGCGGACGGGUGAGUAACACGUGGGUAACCUACCUAUAAGACUGGAAUAACUUCGGGAAACCGGAGCUAAUGCCGGAUAACAUUUGGAACUGCAUGGUUCUAAAGUAAAAGAUGGUUUUGCUAUCACUUAUAGAUGGACCGGCGCCGUAUUAGCUAGUUGGUAAGGUAACGGCUUACCAAGGCAACGAUACGUAGCCGACCUGAGAGGGUGAUCGGCCACACUGGAACUGAGACACGGUCCAGACUCCUACGGGAGGCAGCAGUAGGGAAUCUUCCGCAAUGGACGAAAGUCUGACGGAGCAACGCCGCGUGAGUGAUGGAGGUUUUCGGAUCGUAAAACUCUGUUAUUAGGGAAGAACAAAUGUGUAAGUAACUGUGCACAUCUUGACGGUACCUAAUCAGAAAGCCACGGCUAACUACGUGCCAGCAGCCGCCGUAA